rnacentral:lncRNA from 1 species
UAGGGUUAUUUGUUUUGGAACGUAAGAACACACUCACUUUUUUCUUCAUUGUUUCAAAGGUCGAGACCAGAUAAAGGAACGUCUCCAGCGCCCUCUUGUACAUCUCUACAAAGUGACCAGUCACUGGAUCGACCGAUACUGUUCAAAAAUGGAACUCAGAGCAAUGAAAGGUUGAGACAAAGUCAAACAGCAUCUCCAGCCCCUUCAUGCACGUCUCUAGAAAGUGACCAGUCACUAGAUCGUCCGAUACUGUUCAAAGAUGGAGCAGAGAGUUUUCUUAGCAAUAAAAGAAUGAGACCAGAUAAAAUAACAUCUCCAGCACCUUCUUCUACAUCUCUGCAAAGUGACCAGUCACUGGAUCGACCGAUACUGUUUAACGAUGGAGCUCUGGGGAAUGAAAGGUAUGAGCAUUGAAAAUUUCUGUUGGGAUGCACAAGUUUUGGUAUAAAUUCAGUAUUCGC